rnacentral:rRNA from 1 species
UACGUAGGGGGCUAGCGUUGUCCGGAUUUAUUGGGCGUAAAGCGCGUGUAGGCGGCCAGAUAGGUCCGUUGUGAAAACCCGAGGCUUAACCUCGGGACGUCGAUGGAAACCAUUUGGCUAGAGUCCGGAAGAGGAGAGUGGAAUUCCUGGUGUAGCGGUGAAAUGCGCAGAUAUCUGCAGGAACACCCGUGGCGAAAGCGGCGCGCUGGACCACUACUGACGCUGAGGAACGAAAGCUAGGGGAGCAAACAGG